AUUGAAGACAUUGGAAACGUAUUAUCUUUGAAACAGCACAGAGGUAAAGAUUAUAGAGACAAAAGAGAAGAGGGUCCAGAAUGGAUCCCUGGAGAACUAAACCAUCUGAGAUUGAAUAGGGGAAGACAGAUAUAGAUAGGUGGAGCAAGCUGAGAAAUGCUGGGGUAAGGAGAGGAAAACUAGGAUAAUAUGGGGUCACUGAAGACAAGAAAAGAGUACAUUGAAAAUGAUUGUACCAAA
rnacentral:lncRNA from 1 species